GACGAACGCUGGCGGCGUGCUUAACACAUGCAAGUCGAGCGGUAAGGCCCUUUCGGGGGUACGACGAGCGGCGAACGGGUGAGUAACACGUGGGUGACCUGCCCUCAGCUCUGGGAUAAGCCUGGGAAACUGGGUCUAAUACUGGAUAUGACUCCACGGUGCAUGUCGUGGGGUGGAAAGCCUUGUGCGGCUGAGGAUGGGCCCGCGGCCUAUCAGCUUGUUGGUGGGGUGAGGCCUACCAAGGCGACGACGGGUAGCCGGCCUGAGAGGGCGACCGGCCACACUGGGACUGAGACACGGCCCAGACUCCUACGGGAGGCAGCAGUGGGGAAUCUUGCGCAAUGGGCGAAAGCCUGACGCAGCGACGCCGCGUGGGGAUGACGGCCU
rnacentral:rRNA from 1 species